rnacentral:antisense_RNA from 1 species
AGCAGUGUGGAGCACAAAGAAUCCCUAAUCCCUGACAUUAAGAAAGAAGAAAAAUAUUCCUAGGACGAUCCUGGAGAGCAAAGGUCAUUAGCAGUCACUUGACUUUCCUUGGAUUUCUCAACUGCAGUAGUCACACGGUCUGCUGAAAAUGAAUUCUCUUUAUUUUCAUCUGAUUUCAAGGAAUUAUGGUUUUCAGUGAUUUCUUCAUUUGGAUCUAUUUUGAGACAGAGUAAUAGCAUUAAAACCCCCUUCUGAAUUAAUAAGGUAAGAUGGGCUUAAAAUCACCCAAUUCAAUUCACUAUUGGAUUCUUUGGAGCUGUUAAUCUAUUCAGUGAAAAGAACAAGAACUUUGGAGCUCAAGAUUUAACUAUGGCUCCAUCACUGACCUUGAGCAUUUGUUGCUGAAACGCAAAGUGUGACAAGCCAAUGGAGAGACAGGAUCUCACUUUUUUUGCCCACUACUGGGCUCAAGCGAUCCUCCUGCCUCCAUCUCAAUCUCCCCAAGUGCUGGGAUUACAGCCAUGAGCCACCAUGCCCAGCCCCAGCUCGCAACUUUCUGUGUGACCUCAGAUAGGAGGUUCUUCAACUGUCAGCUACACAUCCAUCCCUGCUACUUUCUUCAUUGCCUCCACAAUUUCUAUAAGGAAAAAGCAAAAUCUGCAUAUCUGCAAAAUUAGUGCCACGUAGAUGCUGCCAAAGGGUUUUCUGCCUGUGCCCUCUGGAGGGGUGACAUCACAUCCCCCAC